CAGCAGCCGCGGUAAUACGUAGGUGGCAAGCGUUGUCCGGAAUUAUUGGGCGUAAAGGGCUCGCAGGCGGUUUCUUAAGUCUGAUGUGAGAGCCCCCGGCUCAACCGGGGAGGGUCAUUGGAAACUGGGAAACUUGAGUGCAGAAGAGGAGAGUGGAAUUCCACGUGUAGCGGUGAAAUGCGUAGAGAUGUGGAGGAACACCAGUGGCGAAGGCGACUCUCUGGUCUGUAACUGACGCUGAGGAGCGAAAGCGUGGGGAGCGAACAGGAUUAGAUACCCCUGUAGUCCCUGUCUCUUAUAC
rnacentral:rRNA from 1 species